GAUGAAGAACGCAGCGAAAUGCGAUAAGUAAUGUGAAUUGCAGAAUUCAGUGAAUCAUCGAAUCUUUGAACGCACAUUGCGCCCGCCAGUAUUCUGGCGGGCAUGCCUGUUCGAGCGUCAUUACAACCCUCAGCCCCCCGGGCCUGGCGUUGGGGAUCGGCGGAAGCCCCCUGCGGGCACAACGCCGUCCCCCAAAUACAGUGGCGGUCCCGCCGCAGCUUCCAUUGCGUAGUAGCUAACACCUCGCAACUGGAGAGCGGCGCGGCCACGCCGUAAAACACCCAACUUCUGAAUGUUGACCUCGAAUCAGGUAGGAAUACCCGCUGAACUUAAGCAUAUCAAUAAGCGGAGGA
rnacentral:misc_RNA from 1 species